CUACGUGCCAGCAGCCGCGGUAAUACGGAAGGUCCAGGCGUUAUCCGGAUUUAUUGGGUUUAAAGGGAGUGUAGGCGGUUUGUUAAGCGUGUUGUGAAAUUUAGGUGCUCAACAUUUAACUUGCAGCGCGAACUGUCAGACUUGAGUACACGCAACGUAUGCGGAAUUCAUGGUGUAGCGGUGAAAUGCUUAGAUAUCAUGAAGAACUCCGAUUGCGAAGGCAGCAUACGGGAGUGUAACUGACGCUUAAGCUCGAAGGUGCGGGUAUCAAACAGGAUUAGAUACCCUGGUAGUCCGCACAGUAAACGAUGGAUGCCCGCUGUUGGUACCUGGUAUCAGCGGCUAAGCGAAAGCAUUAAGCAUCCCACCUGGGGAGUACGCCGGCAACGGUGAAACUCAAAGGAAUUGACGGGGGCCCGCACAAGCGGAGGAACAUGUGGUUUAAUUCGAUGAUACGCGAGGAACCUUACCCGGGCUUGAAUUGCAGAGGAAGGAUUUAGAGAUA
rnacentral:rRNA from 1 species